UACGUAGGGGGCAAGCGUUGUCCGGAUUUAUUGGGCGUAAAGAGCGUGUAGGCGGCCAGACAGGUCCGUUGUGAAAACUCGAGGCUCAACCUCGAGACGCCGAUGGAAACCGUCUGGCUAGAGUCCGGAAGAGGAGAGUGGAAUUCCUGGUGUAGCGGUGGAAUGCGCAGAUAUCAGGAGGAACACCGAUGGCGAAGGCAGGUCUCUGGGCCGAUACUGACGCUGAGGAGCGAAAGCGUGGGAGCGAACGG
rnacentral:rRNA from 1 species